AGUUUGAUCCUGGCUCAGGAUGAACGCUGGCGGCGUGCUUAACACAUGCAAGUCGAACGGUGAAGGAGAGCUUGCUCUCUGGAUCAGUGGAGAACGGGUGAGUAACACGUGAGCAAUCUGCCCCUGACUCUGGGAUAAGCGCUGGAAACGGCGUCUAAUACCGGAUAUGAGCUGCGAAGGCAUCUUCAGCAGUUGGAAAGAAUUUCGGUCAGGGAUGAGCUCGCGGCCUAUCAGCUAGUUGGUGAGGUAACGGCUCACCAAGGCGUCGACGGGUAGCCGGCCUGAGAGGGUGACCGGCCACACUGGGACUGAGACACGGCCCAGACUCCUACGGGAGGCAGCAAUGGGGAAUAUUGCACAAUGGGCGGAAGCCUGAUGCAGCAACGCCGCGUGAGGGAUGACGGCCUUCGGGUUGUAAACCUCUUUUAGCAGGGAAGAAGCGAAAGUGACGGUACCUGCAGAAAAAGCACCGGCUAACUACGUG
rnacentral:rRNA from 1 species